rnacentral:rRNA from 1 species
GACGAACGCUGGCGGCGUGCUUAACACAUGCAAGUCGAACGGAAAGGCCCUGCUUUUGUGGGGUGCUCGAGUGGCGAACGGGUGAGUAACACGUGAGUAACCUGCCCUUGACUUUGGUAUAACUUCAGGAAACUGGGGCUAAUACCGGAUAGGAGCUCCUGCUGCAUGGUGGGGGUUGGAAAGUUUCGGCGGUUGGGGAUGGACUCGCGGCUUAUGAGCUUGUUGGUGGGGUAGUGGCUUACCAAGGCUUUGACGGGUAGCCGGCCUGAGAGGGUGACCGGCCACAUUGGGACUGCGAGACGGCCCAGACUCCUACGGGAGGCAGCAGUGGGGAAUAUUGCACAAUGGGCGGAAGCCUGAUGCAGCAACGCCGCGUGCGGGAUGACGGCCUUCGGGUUGUAAACCGCUUUCGCCUGUGACGAAGCGUGAGUGACGGUAAUGGGUAAAGAAGCACCGGCUAACUACGUG